GCCGGGUCCUCCUUCCUGCUCGUGCCACCAGGCCCCGGGGCCGCGACGCGUCUCUCCAGCCCGGGAUCCGGGGAGCUGGGCUGUCCCCAGACCGACGGGACAGCGGCAUCUCCUCCACCUGAAAAGGAAAGAGGACCAGUUUGCAGGACUCCGAACUGGGCCCGCGAGAUCUCCACCUGCGCAAAACGAAAGGGCGGAUUCUCCUUGGACUCACGAGGCAACCGCUCCCCGGGGUGAGAACGGGGGACUCAUUCCUCCGGCACUGGGAGAAGACGAUUCUUUAGGAGGAGGACAGGGAAGCGAAUGCUACCCAGGUCCUACAGUGUGUAAGCAACAGACGUGAGAUUUGGACCUCUGCUGGACCCCCAAAGGCGGGGCAGCGAACACUCCCCUCCACUCCGCGCCUCCGCAGAACACACAGGGCACCAUUUCACAAACACAGCAGGCACAGAGAGAAACUCCUGCAUUUUCAUCAUAAUGCACGGAAACCCCCUGACCUCAAGCCCAGAGAAGUGAGAUGCAUCCAGGUCUGUUUGCUGCCUGCAUGUUUCACAAAUACAUCUAACAGAUGUCUCAGUAUACUGGCUCGCGGCACAUCGGGCAAAUGAACCUAUCAGAUAACAACGGCAGAUCAGAUGCCUGAGCAUUCAGAAGCAACAGCUGUGGAGCCCCCGUGGGUUCAGAAGGCCUGGUUCCCGUCUCCAGAAGCCUGGCUCUCCUCCCUCCUGGGCCCACUACUUUGGCUUCUUGUUCCUACGUACAAGGAGUUGCGAAGAAGGCAACUCUUCCCCUCCCUGAAGCCAAAGGAAUGAAACAGACUAGGGCGGGAGAGGUGGCCAUCCGUCAUUAGUUGCGGCCAUCAGUAACAGCAACAGGACACGGAACCUAAGGCUGUAUCCAUCCUGGGCCCCCAGGGAAACAUCAGCGGGAGCGGUACUAAGGAAGUGCUCAUCUCUUAGAGACAAAGGCCCAUGGAGGGGAACAGUAACCAUCCCCUCCCAAUUCAGAAAAUGUUAACAUAAGCACUUCAUUUCUCAUGCAGAUAACCACAUAAGUCUAUUAAUAAGAAAGAAAGAGAAAGAAAAAAAAGAAAAAGGAAUCCAUGCCAGCAGGGUAUAGGAAUUGGUCUAUAGGAGAAAGGGUCACCCACUGAAAGGUGGGCUGAAUAGAAUUCCUUGCCUGGGCUUUGAGGUCCUGGCAUGGAGAAGGCUGUAGAAAUGCUGGCAUCAGUGGAACCCUCAAUAAACAGAAUUCUUGUUAAAGAA
rnacentral:lncRNA from 1 species